CAUUGCACAUCCAUAAAUAGAAUGUUGUUUUCAUCCAAUCCGACGGAUAUCCCAUACAUUUUUUGUGUUCCGAACCCCCUUGACGGAUAUCUCAUGCAAAAUUAAACAUUUGAACGAAAACUUGUUAUUUGUUUUUGUUAACAGACGCUUUUUAAUGCAUAUAGUGAAACACUCAAAGUACACAAAAAAAGUCUAACAAUUAUCCUGGAACAAAAACUUAUAACCAUAAAGAACUCAUCACAGUCACAAUUAAAAAAGUAAUUAAACUAAUCCCAUUACAUGAAGCACUACAUAAACUAUUCAGAGUCAGGAUUAAGCUAGCUUAGUUUGACAAAAAUAAAAAAUAAAAACUAAACUAGCUUAGCUAAUUAAGUACAAGUGUGAUCAUGAUUAAACUACUUUGCUCUUCGAAGAACAGAAAACCUGAAGAUGCACUUGGAAGUUUUCCAGUCCCAGUCAAGGUAAAGACCGAUUUCAUCAUUUUCCUUCAAGCCUCUCCGAACCAUAAACUCCGGUCUCCAACCUCCAUUCAGAACGUAAAAAUCACCAGAGUUCCAAUGCUUAAAAGUUAACUCAUGCCGGUUGCACGUAUCCCAGUCCACAACUGUAACUGUUAAGCCCUCUUUACUGUCGACCAUCUUGGCUAACUUGUCGUCCAAGUAAGACAUAACGUGUUUUUGCACUGCCUCUUUUGGCAUCAACAGCCUGCUCAGCUCUCCGAGGUCGCUCGCCGCUAGCCUUUUCCUGAUUUUCCAAAUAGAGUUGUAGUCCCAGGUCGGAUCCCACAGAUACAGAUCGGUGGAGGGUUCGUGUCCUCCGCGAGGAUCAUUCAAACUAUUGUCGAGGCCAACGCCGAACAGUCGUACUUUUGAAGGGUGGUGGUCUUCUUCUUCUAGUUUUGUUGAUGCACAAAAUCAGUGAGGACUUUGGUACAACAGAAAGUGUUAAGUUUGUGACAUUCGCUAGAUUGCUUCGGUCACUAGUAUGGAUAAGUAUGUAAAUGGAUAGAGAUAGGGAAGCAAACACAAGAUGUACGUGGUUCACCCAGAUUGGCUACGUCCACGGAGUAGAGGAGUUCUCAUUAAUUGUGAAGGGUUUACACAAGUACAUAGGUUCAAGCUCUCCUUUAGUGAGUACAAGUGAAUGAUUUAGUACAAAUGACGUUAGGAAAUAUUGUGAGAGAAUGAUCUCUAUUUAUAGAAAAGAGUUUCUAGUUUCAUUCUAAGCUUGUAGGAGCCAGGGCGAUUGAUGCCAACAACUUCAAACGGUCCAUCCCAGUUUGGACUAAGUGUUCAUUCACUCGGGACUCUAUCGCAGAGUAAUCUUUUUUUCAAUACCCAGUCCCCCACUUUGAAAGAACGAGGUUUGACCCUUGAGUCAUAGUAGUUGGAGAUGCACUGCUUGUAGGCCACAUUCCUCAAGUGAGCCUGGUUUCUGUGUUCCUCGACUAGAUCUAAGUUGAGGGUAAGUUGUUUGUCAUUUUCUCUUUGCACGUAGUUUUGGACUCGGAACGUUGCUUGCUCAAGCUCAACUGGGACAACUGCCUCUGUACCAAAGGCAAGUGAGAAUGAGGUUUCUCCUGUUGAUGUCUGAUAUGAAGUGUGGUAUGACCAAAGAACUUGGGGUACAAAUUAUGGCCAACAACCUUUAGCCUUGUCUAAGCUGGUUUUCAAAGUUCGCUUGAUUAUUUUGUUGAUAGCUUUAACUUGUCCAUUAGACUGGGGAUGAGCUGGGGAGGCAAAACAUAAGUUGAUGUUGAACUUAGAGCAGACCAUCUUGAACAUAUUGUUGUCGAACUGUCGCCCGUUGUCAGUGACUAUCGCAUUGGGAAUGCCGAAUCUGCAGAGGAUGUUCUUCCAUACGAAGUCUUCUAUUUUUGCCUCAGUAAUAGUUGCCAAGGGUUUUACUUCAGCCCACUUUGUGAAGUAGUCAACUGCAACGAUUGCAUAGCAAACUUUGCCCUUCCCUGCAGGCAUUGGGCCGAUCAAAUCAAGUCCCCAUUGGGCGAAUAGCCAAGGGCUGAUCAUAGGAGUGAGCGGCUCGGGAGGGGAGUGAGGAAUAGUUAUGUAGCGUUUACACUUAUCACAUAAGCGGGAUAUUCUGGCAUCUUGGUGGAGUGUUGGCUAGUAAUAUCCUUGGCGAAAAGCCUUGUGUGCUAGGGAUCGAGAUCCAGCAUGAUCUCCGCAGACUCCUUCAUGUAUUUCCCAAAUGACAAUUUCUGCCUCUGCGGGCGUAAGGCAUCUUAGGUAUGGUAGGCUAAAACCCCGCUUGUAGAGUUGGUCAUUAAUGAUCAAGUAACAGGUAGCCUUGUAUUGAAUUUGCUUAGCUUGGACUUUGUCAUUUGGAAGGGUGCCAUGAGUAAGGAAUCUAUAAAUUGGGGUAAUCCAACUAUCCCCCUGUUGUAAGUUGCACACUUCCGCAACCAUUGUGCUUGGUGUUGCCAACAAUUCGACCUGAAUUUUUCUCCCAAUCUUGUCUUCCACCGCUGAGGCGAGGCGAGCCAAAACAUCUGCAUGACUGUUUGCCGCUCGAGGAAUUUGGGUGAUCUGGUAGUGGAAGUGCUUGAGCAACAAUUGUGUUUGUGCCAGAUAUGCUGCCAUGGAGCUAUUCUUAGCGUCAAAGUUGUUGGUGACCUGGUUAACCACCAAUUGGGAGUUACUGAAGAUAUCAAUUCGUUUAACCCCAAGGUGUUUGGCUAAACGUAAGCCUGCUAGGAGGGCUUCAUAUUCGGCCUCAUUGUUCGACGCCUUGAAUGUGAAACGAAGAGCAUACUCCAUUACCACUUUGUCAGGGGUCGUAAGGACUAGUCCUGCUCCACAACCAUGUUGGUUGGACGAGCCAUCAACAUAUAGGCUCCAUGCUGGGGCUGUUGGUUCUGUUUUCUGAGCUUCCGAGGGUAAUGAAACCACUUAUUUAGGCGUAGAAACAAUGUGAACAAGAUAAGUGAAGUCAGCGAUGAAGUCUGCUACUGCUUGGCCCUUCUCAGCUGGCUUUGGUUGGUAGGAGAUGUCAAAGUCACCCAAUGCUAUCGCCCAUUUGAUCAUUCGCCCGGAAGUGUCAGGACUUUGGAGUAUCUGUCGAAGAGGAUGAUUGGUAAGCACGAUGAUGGAGUGUGCUUGGAAGUAAGGGCGAAGUUUUCGAGCAGACAUGACCAAUGCUAGAGCCAAUUUCUCAAUGUUGGAGUAUCGUGUCUCUGCAUCUUGUAAGGCCUUGCUAGCAUAGUAGACAAGUCGUUCGACAUUACCAUCCUUUCAAAUGAAAACGGAACUUACUGCUGAAGCCGACACCGACAAAUAGAUAAUGAAGGUGUCACCAACCUCAGGUUUGGAGAGCAGAGGGGCUUUACUCAUGUAGUCUUUGAGGUUCUUGAAUGCCUCAGCACAUUCAUCAGUCCAUGUAAUGUACUUCUUACUUCCCUUAAGUGCUUUGAAGAAAGGAGCACAUCUGUCUGUGGCCUUAGAGAUGAACCUAGUUAAGGCUGCUACCUUGCCAGUAAGGCUUUGGAUGUCUUUUAAAGUUACCGGUUCCUUCAUGUUGAGAAUUGCUUUGAUCUUCUCGGGAUUAGCCUCAAUGCCUCAUUGACUUAUCAUGAAGCCUAAGAAUUUGCCAGAGCCUAUGCCGAAGGCACAUUUGUUGGGGUUCAACCUUAUUCGAUACCUCUUCAGAAUGGUGAAAGUUUCAGAUAGGUUGGUGAUGUGUUGGUCAGCAUGUUUGCUCUUAACUAGCAUAUCAUCAACGUAAAUAUCCAUGCUCUUCCCAAUCUGUUCGGCGAACAUUGAAUUGACUAGUCUCUGAUAAGUCGCUCCUGCAUUCUUUAGGCCGAAGGGCAUGACCUUAUAGCAAUAUAGUCCCCUGUCAGUAAUGAAGGCUGUGUGUUCUUGGUCUGGAGGGUUCAUGAGGAUUUAGUUGUAUCCUGAGUAAGCAUCCAUGAAGCUCAAGAGUUCACACCCUGUUGUAGAGUCUAUAAGUCUGUCUAUGAGAGGAAGAGGAAAGCUAUCAUUCGGGUAUCCUUUGUUUAGGUCGGUGUAAUCAACACACAUUCUCCGCAAUACAUUUUGGAGCAGGAGACUUUCCUUGGUCAAAUUUUUCUUAACAAGGACAACAUUUGCUAAUCACGUUGGAUAAUUGACUUCGCGGACGAAGCUUACGCCUUUGAGUUUUUCAACUUCUGCCUUCAUUGCCUCGUACCGUUCAGCCUCAUAGGAUCUUCGCUUCUGUCUCACUAGCUUAGUCUUAGGGUUAAUACUUAAGCAAUGACAGAUGAUAUCGGGAGAGAUGCCUGGCAUGUCCUCGUAUGACCAGGCGAAGACCUCAGUGUUCUCUUGCAAAAAAGAGAUCAAUGCCAACCGAAUGGGUGGUGACAAGGUGGUGCCAAUCUUCACCAUGCGAUCCGGAUAAUCUUUUGAGAUAGAGACCUCUCUAACUCUUCAACGAGUUGUGCUUGCUAGGUGAAAGAGUCAUCUCGAGGAUCGUCGGGUUGACUGUUGCCACCAUGAAGAUCUAAGUUGGCUUCGUCUGGGCUGGUUUUUAUGACUUGGUCAUGUAUAGAAAGGGUUUCCUUGGGCACAUGCAGGUGUUGUUGCUUGACCGAAGUGUUGUAACAUGAUCGUGCACUAAGUUGAUCUCCUCUGAUGUAACCAUUGCCAUAGGGGUUGGAAAUUUCAUCAACAACAUAUGUGUGGAUACCAUGGCCUUGAGAUCAUUGAUGCAUGUGCGUCCCAAGAUGACAUUGUAUGCCCUUGGGCAAUCAACCACCAGGAAGUUAGUGGUAAUGGUAGUUGUGUAAGGGCAUGGACCAAUGGUGAAAGGUAAGUGUAUGCUCCUCAAAUGUUGCACGAUAUCACCGGAGAAGCUUAUCAGAGGGGAAAUCAAGCGAUCGAGCAAGUGUUCAGCUAUAUUAAGUGCCCUGAAAGCUUCGGCAAACAUGAUAUUGACCGAAGCCCCCAUGUCUACCAGGAUUCGUCGUACUUCAAAGUUGGCUAUGUGAGCUUCCACGAUCAGUGGGUCAUUGUGAGGGUAGAUGAUACCUCUUUCUUCCUCAGGGUAGAAACAUAUUGGAUCCCAGUUAGGCUUUUGAUGCUUGCAUCCCCUGAUGUCUUCCACGUGAAACACUUGGUGGCCAGACCUUAAAUCUCGUUCACUAUUUUUCAUGGCCCUGUUGGAAGAUUUAGAUCUGGGUGUGCCACCACUUAUGGAAUAUAUCACAUUCACCUGGCGUUGGUUACAGUUACCCCUUGGAGGGUGAAAGAGGAAUUGAUCAAUUUUUCCUUCAAGUGCCAAAGCUUUAAUAUGAUCACGAAGGGUGAUACACUUCUCGCCGUCAUGGCCGUUAUACUCGUGGUAGCAGCAAAACGUGCCCAUGUUCUUCGUGGACUUGUAAUCCGGGUGCCUCGACUUUGGCUUCGAUAUCAGGUGUGCUAUAUUGGAGUAAAUGGCCACACAUGUGGCGUUCAAAGGUGUGUAUGCCUCAUACCUCGGGGUAGGGGCUGUCCUGACAUGUGUUUGACCCACUGUGUUGACUGCAUGGGGUCGGGGAUUAUCGUGGUGAUACCCUUGGUUAUCGCGGUAGUGUCCCUUACUUCUUUUACUAAAAUGAGACUGGUGAGGAUGGAAAUCUUUCCUUUUGCCCUGAGAUUGAUAUGUCUGUUGACUUGGCAAAGUAUUAAGUAAGGCAGGGGGAGGCACUACUGUCGUUUGGAAGGUCGAGGUCUUCUCAUUUGGUUGGAUCUGGCUUCCACUCCCUACUUGCUGAUAAGGGGUGGUUGUGGGGGGUUUCCUUUGAUAUGUCCUUGCCUCGGCGGAUGCAUGGUUGUAAGCCUGUGCCAACACCUCAGAGUAAGUCUUUCAAGUGUUGGCAUUGAUCAUGUACUUGAAGAAACAAUCACGUAAGCCUGCCGUGAAGGCCUUAAGGGCGGUCUUGUCAUCUGCCUCAGCGCAGCGAGAAUACUCAUGGCUGAAGUGACCGGCAUACUCUCGUAGUGACUCGUCCGGCUUCUGGCGAAUAGUGUACAAGUCAUCUGCAGAAUGCAAGCGAUCGGUCUGGAAAUGUGUUGAGAAACAAACAGUUUCCUCAAUUCCUCAAAUGAGUCUACCGUCUCAGGUGGAAGAUGACAAUACCAGUUUAGAGCUCCGCCAGAGAGGACAGAGGGGAAGAGAAGACAUCGCUCUUCGUUGGUGUGCAUCUGGUAUGCCAUGGUGGACUCAAAGAGGUUAAAAUGUUCAAUCGGGUUCUCAUUUCCAGUAUAGAGUUGCAAGCCAAGCUUCUGCUUUGUCUUUGCUUGGAGGGGGUUGUCGAAGAUCCUCCUUGUAAGAGGGCCAGGCCUAGGUUGGUUCCAAUCAGGUAUCUCAGCUUGUCGUUCGGCCUUCAACUUGUUUACUUCCUUAAGAAGCUGUAGGACAAGAGAGUCAUGAGUGGAGUCAUGUACCACUGGAGCUUUCUUUCGUAAAUCUUCAUCUCCUCUUGGAAGUAGGAAGGUUUGAUCAAGAGCAUGUGAUUUUUUCCUGGACUCGCCGUACUGACUUUCAAGGUAUGUAUGUCGAAACAUCUUUGAGUCCCUUAUACCUUCGUGUUUCUCUAGGACUUGUUGCCCCUUCCCCAAAUUGGUAGCCGGCCUGGGACGUGGGAGGGGACCUAGUCUUUCAGAAACCCUUGGGUCAUUGAUCUUCGAGCUUAUGUGGAGGGGAUUCUCUCGACGUUGCUUUAGGAAGUCUCGGCAGUCACGAUAAACGGCUUUCAAUCCUUCCAACCUUUCUGCAAGAAGGUGUCUUCCUCCACUUUUCCUGCUUCAGGUCGAAGCAGCUGGGUUGAGAGAAGUCUCAUGUUGAUCAAUGUUUUGAUGAUUAACUCGCUCCUCAUCAGGGAUACCCAUGUUGAAGGAAGGUGACCCUCCUUAUUGGGAGGCAUCUAGAUGAUGGUUGAUGUCCACAGAGGUAACAAGUUCGCGUGUUUGAGUACGCCUAAUUCUUGGAGCAUCUCAAAGAGAUUCUCAUACUGCUCCUGAAGGACCUCAUUCUUCAUUGCUAUCUUGUUGUUUUGUGAUUCUAGCUCAUCGACUUUAGCUUGAAGAGCAACCCUCUUUCCUUCCUUAUUUCGUUGUUUCGCACUAGGUGCAAGAGGGAUGUCAUCCUGUGUGUUGUGGCUUCCUUCGCUCCCCAUGUUGGAGAGGGAUGCCUGGUCAAAAGAGAGUGUACGAAUGGUGGAAACCAGCUUAACAAAGUUGAAGAGAGUGAGAAUAAGUGUCGUUCCCACAAACGGCGCCAAAUGUUGAUGCACAACAUCAGUGAGGACUUUGGUACAACAGAAAAUGUUAAGUUUGUGACCUUCGCUAGAUUGCUCCGGUCACUAGUAUGGAUAAGUAUGUAAAUGGAUAGAGAUAGGGAAGCAAACACAAGAUGUACGUGGUUCACCCAGAUUGGCUACGUUCACGGAGUAGAGGAGUUCUCAUUAAUUGUGAAGGGUUUACACAAGUACAUAGGUUCAAGCUCUCCUUUAGUGAGUACAAGUGAAUGAUUUAGUACAAAUGAUAUUAGGAAAUAUUGUGAGAGAAUGAUCUCUAUUUAUAGAAGAGAGUUUCUAGUUUCAUUCUGACAUUGACACGUGUCGUGUUGUGAUUGGCUUAUGAUGUUAACACGUGUCGCGCUAUGAUUGGCUUCUGAUGUCGACA
rnacentral:lncRNA from 1 species